rnacentral:sRNA from 1 species
GCGGUGAUGAUUACGGGUUGGCCGACGG